rnacentral:sRNA from 1 species
GUCAGGUCUUUUGGCAAAGUUUAAUCAAAAUCGAGGUAAAAAAAUGUUUUACAAAUAAAUUCACAUGAGACCCACACAAAUAAUGUCAAUAUAAAAAAACAACACUUCUAUGAAGCACCUGGUACUAUGGGUUGAACAAAGUGAAAUGACCUACUUGAAGGAGAACAAAGAAAAUGUCAACCUCAGAAGGUUGAAAACAAAACUAUUGAGACUUCAUUAUGCAGCACAGUGUGGUCAGGGAGCACACUUCAGAACAACAUUAAUAAAUAGUCAAGAUUAAUAUCAACUUCAGGGCUAAGGUCAAAUGUUUGGUGUGAUAUGAUAUUACUAGAAGUAAACAAAAGCUAUAGGUUAGACUCUUCCCCAGUCUGACAUCUUCCAAUGUGUACAAGUCAAGGCAAACAGUCAAUGAAUAAAGACACAACAAUGGAGUUAUUCUUACCUUGGUAUUUCUAUAGCAGAGGGAAAAUUGUGGUCAUUAGUAGGAGGCAAGUGAUGAGAUUUAGCUUGAUGCUUACAAAUUACUUCUGAGUAGGAUAAUAAGGAAAUGUCAAGGCAUGUUCAAUCUAAAGAUUCUAUAUUUUAACUGGUAUCUAGGUGAUAAGAAACAUGAUUUAAAAAUUAAAAAGACUAUUAACUAACAAAGUUCAAAAAUUGAGAAAAUCUGUAAUUGAUUAUUUUAAGUUUAAGGGUAUUUGUAGUUUGUACAUUUGAAAAGAAGCUAAAAUCAUUAAAAGGUCAUUACAGAAAGAUAGAUUAAAAAAAAAGACAACAUUGUAGCCAAAUAAAAUGUUUCCUUAAAUUUCAAAAACUAAUUCAUUCUGACAGGAUUACAUAAAAUACUCUUCACAUACUUUUAAACACUAAACAUUUAGAGCCUAUGUCGUACACUUUAUCAGAUCUGAAAGUGUGUGCAAGUAUGUUCAAAACCUAGAAGGAACAAAGAGGUUUGUAUCAUUUUUAUAUCCAAUCAUAUUACAGGCAACAAACAUUGACAAGAAAUCAUUCAGAGUACAUAUAUUAAAAUUUAUAAAUAAAAGCUUGGACACAAGUAAUAGAUGAUAACAUGAUUGGAGCAAAUGUUCUCUACUAAAAUAAAAGGUCAUUAAGCUUUGAACCAACUAAAUCUAUCUAUAACAUUUUAAAUGCUAAAUUUACAGUUGAAACAUUCUGUACUAUGAUAAUUGUGAACAUAAGUUCCACAAGAAAUAUAUUAAAAAUGUUCCUUGAGGCAAAAGCUGCCUUAGCAGUGUGCGGGGCCCUGGGUGAGUAUCAUCAUAUCAGUGCCACAAAUACUUGUACAAUGGGCUGACGAUGACAAAAUAUUCUCUUUAAUGCUGGGCCUCCCUGAGGUGCAGGGCCCAGUGCAGAUGCCCCACUUUGCUUGGGGUCAAGCUUCUUAGCAAGUAAUUAAAACUUCUACAAACCAGGCAACCUGAUUACUAACUGUAGACAAAGCAAACACACAAGUUUUGAAGAAGACUUAGUUGCUGACAGAACAAUCAGGACAACUAGAUACACUUUUAUUUCAAAUAAUCAAAACCAAAAAAAAAAAAAACAACUUUAUAUUAUCUAACUUUGAUGUAUCAAUUAUAAAUAUGUUAAAGCAAUUUGUUACUGAUACUAGUGAGUAGACAAAUAAAUAAAAAUACAUAAAAAGCAAUACCAUUGAAACAUACAAGUAUACUGUAGAGCAGGAAGAUAUAAAUGAGUCUAGACUAGAUUUUCUUUGGUAAUAUUUCCUCCAAUCUAAAAUCAACCCAAAGAUUGAAGUGACACAUUUUUUUUAGCUGCAAUAAUUUAGGCUAAGCUUUUCUAGCACCAGAUUUGUCAUGGAAAUUUCAAUCAGAUAUUAAAUAAUCAAAAAUAAAUUGUGUAAAUAGUGGCUUACUGGAGUAAAACAAGUGUAUAAAUAGUGGUUUACAGGAGUAAAACAUCUAUCAUUGAGACGUGUGGUUACAAUUUCUACCCAGUUUUGAAGUUACCUCUUUAAAAACAAAUUUUGCAGCAUAGAAGUGUAAGCAACUAGCCUCAAGUUUAAUAUGUCCUAAGGGCACAGCAAUAAAGCACUGUGUUAUAAUCAAACCUAGUUGCAUCAAACACUCAUGUGUACAUAUUUCAUCAGAGCCCUUUAGUGACCUAAAGAUGCUCAAUGUGAUAUGAUCUAUUUGGACGUGGGUGAUAUUUCACAUAUCAAAUCAACAUGUUUUUUUUAAAUAAAUUUGAUUUGCAAAAUUUGAAUAUAUUGUGAUGUAAAACAAACACACACACACAACAACAGGGUCAUGUUUUCAUGAAGCUGAGUAAGAGUUAUAUAUAAGCAAACAGUUUGUAAUACAACCUAAACAAAACAACAACAAUGGACUGAGUGUAUAAACAUAGAGAGAUCUGUACAUAAGUACAACACCAACGUUAUCACACACAUUCAUCAAGUCACAGGUGGAAACACUCAAAUCAUAGGGUAGGAAUAUACAGGACUUUGUUUCAACAAGCACGCUGCCAGAGUUUUUAUGGAUUUUUUUUCUUUGUCUUUAUGAUGAAUAACACAACCAUGAAUAGCUUCAUUUGCACAUAAAAUCUGCACAUAAAAUAUACGUUAAAAACAUUGUUAUAUGUUGAAUAAAAAACUGUAAAACAAAAAAUAGAGAGGAAAGACUAGUAUGCCAGUAAUGGGUUUGAAUUAGUCAAUGUACCUUGAUUAUCAGGGAACAGGAGGAAGGAUGAAUAUAACAGGUAAGGGACCUCUUCCCUCUUGAGUAAUAGCUAAAAAAUUAACAAAAUUAUUUCACUGUUAUAGAGUUUAAUACAGUUAUUGACAUCAAAGAAUAGAGUUUUUGAAAGAAUAUAAAAACAAAACUUACACUAGACUACACAAUUAGUCUAUGAAACAAGAGUUUGAUAGAAAGUUCUACGACCAACUGAUGCCAUGUACUAAUCUACUAAGCAAUGUCCUCAAAUGCCAAAUUCUUUGACCCAGCUGCUGGGUUGGAAAAACAUUUGCAGAGAAAAUGGUUUCUGCAUUUCUAUCCUUAACAUUUGUAUUCAAAUCAUGCCAUCAUUUUAAGCAUUGAUCUUCUUACUGCUGGUAACCUAGGCAAGUGGAAUUACAGCACCAUUAUUUAGCAAGACAAAUGUAAAUAUCUUUAGCACAUGAUACUUACUUGACUUGUAAGUUUAAGAAAGUUCCUUCAGGAAUGAAACUUGUUUUGACCUAGCCCAAACCUUCUGCAUGAGAAGAGCAGGAUUCAAACCUGGGACCAUCAGACAAUAGUCCGAAGAACAACUCAAACAACCAUCCUAAACAACAGUCAAAUGAUGCCUACACCUUAAGUCUGAAUUACGUCUAUAGCUACAGUUUAAACAACUAAUGUCUGAUACUGGUAUUGAUACCAAAACAUACUGCAAAAUUACAUAUAAUUCAUGAAAAAACAAUAUAUUGGUAAUUUUAAAAUACAUAUCAUGCAGGGAAGGUCCUCCUAACAUUAGUCACAUGCACUAUGUUAGUCACAACUAGUACAUGCAGUAUAGUGAAUGCUCCACAAUAGUCAACAUGAUACAUAUAUCAAUAUAAAAUAGGAUUGAUAUGCCUCAACUUAAAACAACCACUUAAACUAGGUAACUGUCAUUAAAAUCUUUUUAAAUUGUGUACUAGAGGUAUUAUACUUCCAGACUGACUUAGGAUUCCUUUGAGACCCGAUCUCUGUAGCUCUGUCUUAUCCAUUUUUAUUGGGACUUGACCACUUAAUGAGAUUGUGACCAAGUGUCGCAUGAGGUUUGCAGGACAUACCCUCCGACAGGAUGAAUUACGCAUACCAAGAGUUGCAAUGACAUGAAGGCCAGUAAGAGGAAAGCGCAAACAGGGACAUCCUCAUUUAGAUUGGCGCCACAAUUUUAAAGAGGACAUCAGAGCAGAGGAGACCAUGUGGGAAGAGGCUACAAACAUUGCCAGUGACAGCUUGCCACCCAACGGGCUGUACAGAGGAUCUAACUAGCCAAAUAACAAGAGGUAUUAACAAAUGAGUGAAAUAGUUUCUCCGUGAACUGUGAGAAUAACUUGUUACACAUUAUUGGCAUUAUUAAAAUAUAUCAGAGCAAAGUAAGACAUUAGAAUCAUACAACAAGUAGUGCUAGGACACACAUGUCUGCUUUUGAAAAAAUGUUAUAUGCAUUGGUGAUAAUUUCCCUUAAGAAUUUCCAACAUUAUGAUGUCAUUUGAAGUCCACAACACAUCUUGACUAACUUAAACAUGUUAGAGUGAUCCAUUAAGUGUUUGAUUAUUCAUGUACAUGUGUAAAUUAAUUUAGAAAAAAUAUGCAGCUUAACUAAACUAUAACAGUGACAAAGACUACAAUGUACACCCUGAGACCUGUAGGUUAAAAUCAGUCAUGAUUAGAAAAACAAAGCUAAUACACUGGCUUAUAAUUCAGACCC